rnacentral:tRNA from 1 species
GUCAGGAUGGCCGAGUGGUCUAAGGCGCCAGACUCAAGGUGACAAGCCUUACCUACGGGUGUUCUGGUCUCCGAAUGGAGGCGUGGGUUCGAAUCCCACUUCUGACA